rnacentral:rRNA from 1 species
UUCCUACGGGGGGCUGCAGUGAGGAAUCUUCCACAAUGGGCGAAAGCCUGAUGGAGCAACGCCGCGUGCAGGAUGAAGGCCCUCGGGUCGUAAACUGCUUUUAUAAGUGAAGAAUAUGACGGUAACUUAUGAAUAAGCACCGGCUAACUACGUGCCAGCAGCCGCGGUCAUACGUAGGGUGCAAGCAUUAUCCGGAGUGACUGGGCGUAAAGAGUUGCGUAGGUGGAUUGUUAAGUAGGUAGUGAAAUCUGGCGGCUCAACCGUACAGGCUAUUACCUAAACUGGCAAACUCGAGAAUGGUAGAGGUAACUGGAAUUUCUAAUGUAGGAGUGAAAUCCGUAGAUAUAAGAAGGAACACCAAUGGCGUAGGCAGGUUACUGGACCAUUUCUGACACUAAAGCACGAAAGCGUGGGGAGCGAACAGGAUUAGAUACCCGAGUAGUCGA